AGAAUCAACGCUGGCGGCGUGCCUAACACAUGCAAGUCGAACGAGAAAGUGGAGCAAUCCAUGAGUAAAGUGGCGACCGGGUGAGUAACACGUGACUAACCUACCUUCGAGUGGGGGAUAACAUCGGGAAACCGAUGCUAAAUACCGCAUAACAUCGCAAGAUCAAAGCAGCAAUGCGCUGGAAGAGGGGGUCGCGGCUGAUUAGCUAGUUGGCGGGUAACGGCCCACAAGGCGAAGAUCGGUA
rnacentral:rRNA from 1 species